rnacentral:rRNA from 1 species
GAGUUUGAUCUUGGCUCAGGAUGAACGCUAGCUACAGGCUUAACACAUGCAAGUCGAGGGGCAGCAUGGUCUUAGCUUGCUAAGGCCGAUGGCGACCGGCGCACGGGUGAGUAACACGUAUCCAACCUGCCCUUUACUCGGGGAUAGCCUUUCGAAAGAAAGAUUAAUACCCGAUAGCAUAAUGAUUCCGCAUGGUUUCAUUAUUAAAGGAUUCCGGUAAAGGAUGGGGAUGCGUUCCAUUAGGUUGUUGGUGAGGUAACGGCUCACCAAGCCUUCGAUGGAUAGGGGUUCUGAGAGGAAGGUCCCCCCAAUUGGAACUGAGACACGGUCCAAACUCC